UACAGAGGGGGCAAGCGUUGUUCGGAAUUACUGGGCGUAAAGGGCGCGUAGGCGGCCGCCUAAGUCAGACGUGAAAUCCCUCGGCUCAACCGGGGAACUGCGUCUGAUACUGGGUGGCUUGAAUCCGGGAGAGGGAUGCGGAAUUCCAGGUGUAGCGGUGAAAUGCGUAGAUAUCUGGAGGAACACCGGUGGCGAAGGCGGCAUCCUGGACCGGCAUUGACGCUGAGGAGCGAAAGCAUGGGGAGCGAACAGG
rnacentral:rRNA from 1 species